rnacentral:rRNA from 1 species
UUUAAAUAGCUGCAGUAUUUUAACUGUACAAAGGUAGCGUAGUAAUUAGUCUUUUAAUUGAGGUCUAGAAUGAAUGGUUUAACAAGAAAUUAGCUUUAUUAAUUCAAUUAAAUUAAUUUUAUUUUUUAGUUAAAAAGCUAAAAUUUAAAAAUGGGACGAUAAGACCCUAUAGAUCUUCAAAUUUUUAAUUUAUAGAGCUGUUUAGGUUUAAUUUUAUUUUAUUUUUAUAAAUUUUUUGUUGGGGUGACAAAUAAAUUUUUAAAACUUUAAUAUUUUAACACAUAAAUUUAUGGAUUAAUAUGAACCUAAUCUAAGGUGUAGUAAAAUAAGAUACCUUAGGGAUAACAGCGUAAUAGAUUUGUAUAGUUCUUAUAGAUAAAUUUGUUUACGACCUCGAUGUUGAAUUAAUCUAAAGUUUUGGGGCAGAAAUUAAAAUUUUGGGUCUGUUCGACCCUUAAAUGGUUACA